CGGGGUGCAGCAGGCGCGAAAACUUUACAAUGCUGGCAACAGCGAUAAGGGGACCUCGAGUGCCAGGAUACAAUCUUGGCUGUCGUGAUGCCUAAAAAGCAUUACAUAGCAAGGGCCGGGCAAGACCGGUGCCAGCCGCCGCGGUAACACCGGCGGCUCGAGUGGUAACCGCUAUUAUUGGGUCUAAAGGGUCUGUAGCCGGCCGGAUAAGUCUCUUGGGAAAUCCAGCAGCUCAACUGUUGGGCUUCCAGGGGAUACUGUUCGGCUCGAGGCCGGGAGAGGUGAGAGGUACUUCAGGGGUAGGGGUGAAAUCUUGUAAUCCUUGAAGGACCACCAGUGGCGAAGGCGUCUCACCAGAACGGUCCUGACGGCAAGGGACGAAAGCUAGGGGCACGAACCGGAUUAGAUACCCGGGUAGUCCUAGCCGUAAACGAUACUCGCUAGGUGUCGGCCACGGUGCGACCGUGGUCGGUGCCGUAGGGAAGCCGUGAAGCGAGCCACCUGGGAAGUACGGCCGCAAGGCGGAAACUUAAAGGAAUUGGCGGGGGAGCAC
rnacentral:rRNA from 1 species